UGGGUUUUAAAACUGAACUUUAAUUUUGUAUGGGUUGACAUAAGUUUUGUAGGAAUUAAGUUAUGUGGUACAAUAUAACUGUUAAAUAUCGUACUGCAAAAUAUGUUUUUCCAACAAAAUAACUUCAAACAAAUAAUGAAAUAUACAAUAUGAAGUUGAAUAAAUUUUGGAAACAAAAAAUUAUAUAAUAACAAGAUGAAAGGAAGAAGAGUCAAGUCCUCUGAAUUCAC
rnacentral:lncRNA from 1 species